CUUGAGCUGACAAUGCUUGGGAGACAUUUUGUUCCAGAAUAAGUCUAGGUUACACAGGGAUUAGGUAAAGAUAUAUCCACACUUUUCAACUUGCCAUUGUAUUAUAACUUUAUGCACUCUGUUGACUAAACAUCACUCUUAUUUACACAAUCAAACCCCUGUGAGUUUAUUGUGAUUCAUUAUACAUUUUACUUCCCCUCCCACUUCUUUGCUUAAACAGGUAGUGCUUGUCAAGGACCUGGUCCUAAAGGCAUGAAGUUGUGACUAAGAAGCUGAGAAUUUGAUGCCUUGACAGAGCCUGGUGGGAAAGGAAGGGCAUGGGGCUGCACACUCCCCCCAUGCUGCAGGGAGAUGCUGCAGUCAGUAAGCAAAGUGGAAGGCAUAAGAUUUGUCCUUGUUCAUGAAGAACAAGAUGGGCAAAAGACAGCCAAAGACAAGUGCAGCUCCUCAUCUUUCUGGGAUCUUGUUUCCGUGCUCAUAACAGUCCCUGUUGUGAUGCAAUCUGGCAACUCUCGUAUCCUUGCAACAAGGAUGUACCUCUUUGAACUUUUUGCAAGAAAGGAAGGAAAAUCUCAAAUAAUGAACUCAGACCUUGACUUGCAAAGGAAGAAAGAACAUGCCAUUUUCAAAUGCCUGACUCAUUUCAUAAAUUGCAAAGACAUUUAUACUUUUCAAAAGAAAUUCCUCAAAUACAGUAGUGUUCGAACCAUGGGGUCCAUUUCUGAGAUGGUAGAGAUCUGCAAAACUCCCCAGAAGCUAUAUGUGUUAUGUGUAAAGAUUUUGACCUUUGCAUCCAAUUUGAAGCAGCUAUUGAGAGAAAAAUGA
rnacentral:lncRNA from 1 species